GAUGAAGAACGCAGCGAAAUGCGAUAAGUAAUGUGAAUUGCAGAAUUCCGUGAAUCAUCGAAUCUUUGAACGAACAUUGCGCCCCCUGGCAUUCCGGGGGGCAUGCCUGUCCGAGCGUCAUUUCUGCCCUCCAGCCCGGCUGGGUGUUGGGCGCUGUCCCCCCGGGGACACGCCCCAAAGGCAGUGGCGGCGCCGCGUCGGGUCCUCGAGCGUAUGGGGCUUUGUCACCCGCUCGGGACGGACUCGUCGGCGCUGGUCUUCCUCCAGGCGACCCUUCGGGGCUCGUCUUCCUUCGGUUGACCUCGGAUCAGGUAGGGUUACCCGCUGAACUUAAGCAUAUCAAUAAGCGGAGGA
rnacentral:misc_RNA from 1 species